AUUACAUUCAAUAUUUCCCUCUCUUUCUCUCUCUUACAUUCAUUCUGCAGCAAUCCUUCUCUCUCCUUUCCAAGCGGUGAUUUCUUCAUCACACCUCCCUUGCAUUCCACAGGUAAUACAAGCCCAAGAGGAAGCACAAGAGCUCAUAUUCGGCUGGAUCUAUGGCGAGAUGGAGAGAUUCUUCUCAUCACCGAGACUUGAAUCGAUUUGAAUCCACGGAGUUUCACAGACCGCUUGGAAUUUUCAAAAGCUCACUCUUAAAGAUAGUCCACGAAGUGCAUUCACUGACAAAGAUGGUCUUUGUAGACUGUAAUGGCAUAAACAUUUGAUCUAUGGACCAUCUAAACAUAAUCAUGGCUCUCAACCAUUCCCUGGAAUUGGUGAUGCUGUACAAAUGGCUAAGAAACUACACAUUGUAGAAUCAUGGAGUCGAUUAAAAUGUUUGGAGAGUCUCAAGAGUCAUUAGACAAGCUUCAUUAGUUCACGUUACUCUACAAGUUUUUUCUAUAUCAACAUUUAUAUUAAUAAUAAUAAUAGCAAUGACACGUUUGUUUGAUGGAUUUUCAGAACUUUCUUAUCUUAUGUUUGAUCCCGAAUUAUGCAGUAUGAAGUGUAACUCCCAAAACUAUACUUUGGAACUGACAUGUUUCUGUUUCUCUAUCUGUGAGUAAGCUUUCUUCCUAUCAUUUUACUAAUUCACUCUAUAUACAAAUAUUUCUUUGAAGUGACAUGUCUCAGUGUCGAUGUUGGUUCUUCUGCACAAUUGGUUUAGGUGAGAAUUGUUAUGUAUCAUGAAUAAAGGUGAUCUUAUACUUUAACAUGUUGCAGUAAAACGAUAAUUGGGGAUCUUAUACCAGUUGAUACAAUGUUGCCAAUGCCCUGUCAAUGCAAUUUUCUAAAUAAUAGUUGGUGCAUUUGGAAAUCAAGGUACCAUAAAAUCUUCCGAAACGAAGAGAUUCAAAUUGGAAAAGUGAUAGAGGAAGCAAAGAUAUGCGUUUGGAAAUGGAUGAAGAUUAAAUCCAUGUUGAUCAAGGAUGAUUUUGCUUUGUGGUGUUUAAAUCCUAAAGCCUGUUUGUGUGGUGUGGAUGCCUGAGUUAUUUCUGUUUGUGGGUCAAUCUGGUCUAAGACUUUUGGGUCGUGGAAAUAUAGUGCUCCAUCAGUUCAGUGGCGUUUUGUGGUUUCUGCAGUAUUUGGUUGAUCGAAGCGCCAUUUGCAUCAUGUGUUGAAGGGAGUAUUUCAAUUUAGUCUCUUUUUGCUGGGUUCUGUUGCUGGUAGCUUCCCCUUUUUUGGCUUUUUGUU